rnacentral:lncRNA from 1 species
AUGCUUCCCUCUCCGUGGAUCCAGAGUGGUCGAGUGUCACAAGGAACCGCCUGCCCGCACUGUCACUGCCUCCUGCCAUGGCACCUCCGCCCUCUCUUCACUCACUCAGGAACACCUACAGAAGGGGGAGGCGAGGGAACUGUGCUCGCCCACACAGAACCAGGUGAGACGCCGGGCAGAGAUGCACCUGCUGCCUACUUGGAGAGAAUCGCCCACGACUCCAAGGGCACAGCUCAUUCCAACACCCCUCCCCCAUGCUGCCUCCCAUGCCUGUCCUCUGAGCCCAGCACAGCAGGUGCAACGUGCUGGCCCUCCAGGGAUUCACACGUGGCCACCCGUCUUCACAGACAGAUGAACUGUGUCUUCAGUUCAUGGCUGAAUGCCCCAGACAGCAGAAGAGGGCGGCCUUUCCACUCCAGCUCAUUCUGCCAGGCUGGGUUCCCUUAUCGGAUCCAGACAGCAAGGGGGGAGGCAGGGCAGGGAGAGGGAGGCGGCUGGGAUGGGGGGGGGGGUGAAGGGACAGCUCCCAGAAGCUGCCCAGGGCUCCCAACCACCAGACCCGAGGGGCCCCAGGUGACCUGCCUGAAGGUGGGCACCAGACUGCUGUGGGGAGGGGGCCCAAUGUUUGAAGUCCAGAGAGCUGGACUUCAGUCCCAGCUCUGUAGCAAGCCUGUUUCUCCACACAGGAGAGCACUACAGGCUUUGUGUAUGUAUGCAAGGCAGAGCAACAGAGAGAGGGAGAGACAGAGAUACAUCUCCCGUCUGCUGGCUCACUCCCCAAAUGGCCACAACAGCCAGGGCUGGGCCAGGUCAAAGCCAGGAGUGCGGAGCUCCAUGCUGGUCGCUCAUGUGGGUGUAGGGCCCCAGGCACGUGGGCCGUCCUCCGCCGCCUCCCCAGGAGCAUCAGCGGGGAGCUGGAUCGAAGGCAGAGCAGUUGACACUCAGACCUGCCCUCCAGUACAGGGUGCCGGGAUUGCAAGUGGUGGCUUAACCCACUGCACCACAAUGCCAGCCCCUACCAGUCUCAAGUUCUUAGAGUUUAAUGAGAUGAUGCUUUUACGACUUGUAGCACAGCCGCUGGCAUACGGCAGGUACUUAGUAAGUGGCAGGAGGCUGGCGCUGUGGCAUAGCAGGUAA